rnacentral:sRNA from 1 species
GCCGGGCAUGGUGGCUUGUGCCUGUAGUCCCAGCUACUCGGGAGGCUGAGGCAGGAGGAUCACUUGAGCCCAGGAGUUUGAGGUUGCUGUGAGCUAGGCUGACGCCACGGCACUCACUCUAGCCUAGGCAAGAAAGCGAGACUCUGUCUCAAAAAAAAAAAAAAAAACGUAUUUAUGUAUGUAUUUAUUUAGACAGAGUCUCACUCUGUCACCCAGGCUGGAGUGCAGUGGCAUGAACAUAGCUCACAGCAACCUCAAAUUCCUGGGCUCAAGAGAUCCUCCUGUCUCA